UGCCCAUGCAACUCCUAUCCCUACCUCCUCGUGGUACUGGCCGGGAUACGAGUAACCAUGGGGAAGAUCGUCGUUUGGUCGUAUGCUGACAGGGAAGG
rfam:Aedes aegypti strain Liverpool supercont1.381 genomic scaffold, whole genome shotgun sequence.